rnacentral:lncRNA from 1 species
CCAGCGACUUGAGGCCAGUCUUCGCCAGGACCUUGAAGAACCAUGAGUUCUUUUGGUGGAUUUGGUGCUCCCUGAGAACUUGUGUCAGCACACCAAAACCUCAAAGGGAUGCCUCAGUAUCAAGAGGGAGCAGCAGCUUCCUCAGGCCACUCAGGUCCCCUCUCCAGAAGAUGAACCAGGAGAGGAGAGAUGGCCCUGACAUGUCCCCUGACUGUCACCAUCUCCAGUUUGCAGCAGA